rnacentral:rRNA from 1 species
CUACGGGUGGCUCCAGUGAGGGAUAUUGCACAAUGGGGGGAACCCUGAUGCAGCAACACCGCGUGGAGGAUGACGCAUUUCGGUGUGUAAACUCCUUUUAUAUGUCAAGAAAAUGACGGUAGCAUAUGAAUAAGCACCGGCUAACUCCGUGCCAGCAGCCGCGGUAAUACGGAGGGUGCAAGCGUUACUCGGAAUCACUGGGCAUAAAGGACGCGUAGGCGGGUUGGAAAGUCAGGUGUGAAAUCAUACAGCUUAACUGUAGAACUGCACUUGAAACUUCUAAUCUAGAGUAUGGGAGGGGGAGAUGGAAUUAGUGGUGUAGGGGUAAAAUCCGUAGAUAUCACUAGGAAUACCUAAAGCGAAGGCGAUCUCCUGGAACAUUACUGACGCUAAGGCGUGAAAGCGUGGGGAGCAAACAGGAUUAGAUACCCCCGUAGUC